UACGUAGGGUGCGAGCGUUGUCCGGAAUUAUUGGGCGUAAAGGGCUCGUAGGCGGUUUGUCGCGUCGGGAGUGAAAUCCACUGGCUUAACUGGUGGCUUGCUUUCGAUACGGGCAGACUGGAGGUAUGCAGGGGAGAACGGAAUUCCUGGUGUAGCGGUGAAAUGCGCAGAUAUCAGGAGGAACACCAGUGGCGAAGGCGGCUUUCUGGUCUGCUCUUGACGCUGAGGCGCGAAAGCUAGGGUAGCAAACGGG
rnacentral:rRNA from 1 species